GACCCGUAGCGAACAGCUCAGUAACACGUGGCCAAACUACCCUAUGGACGUGGACACCCUCGGGAAACUGAGGCCAAUCCACGAUACGGCUCCCACGCUGGAAUGCGGGGAGCCGGAAACGCUCCGGCGCCAUAGGAUGUGGCUGCGGCCGAUUAGGUAGACGGUGGGGUAACGGCCCACCGUGCCGAUAAUCGGUACGGGAUGUGAGAGCAAAUAGCCCGGAGAUGGAAUCUGAGACAAGAUUCCAGGCCCUACGGGGCGCAGCAGGCGCGAAACCUUUACACUGCACGCCAGUGCGAUAAGGGGACCCCGAGUGCGAGGGCAUACAGUCCUCGCUUUUGUACACCGUAAGGAGGUGUACGAAUAAGGGCUGGGCAAGACCGGUGCCAGCCGCCGCGGUAAUACCGGCAGCCCGAGUGAUGGCCGCUGUUAUUGGGCCUAAAGCGUCCGUAGCCGGCCGAACAAGUCUGUCGGGAAAUCCAUCCGCUCAACGGAUGGGCGUCCGGCAGAAACUGUUCGGCUUGGGGCCGGAAGAUCCGAGGGGUACGUCCGGGGUAGGAGUGAAAUCCUGUAAUCCUGGACGGACCGCCGGUGGCGAAAGCGCCUCGGAAGGACGGACCCGACGGUGAGGGACGAAAGCUGGGGUCUCGAACCGGAUUAGAUACCCGGGUAGUCCCAGCCGUAAAC
rnacentral:rRNA from 1 species